CAGCAGCCGCGGUAAUACGAAGGGUGCAAGCGUUACUCGGAAUUACUGGGCGUAAAGCGUGCGUAGGUGGUGGUUUAAGUCUGCUGUGAAAGCCCUGGGCUCAACCUGGGAAUUGCAGUGGAUACUGGGUCACUAGAGUGUGGUAGAGGGAUGCGGAAUUUCUGGUGUAGCAGUGAAAUGUGUAGAGAUCAGAAGGAACAUCCGUGGCGAAGGCGGCAUCCUGGGCCAACACUGACACUGAGGCACGAAAGCGUGGGGAGCAAACAGGAUUAGAUACCCUGGUAGUCCACGCCCUAAACGAUGCGAACUGGAUGUUGGGUGCAACUUGGCACCCAGUAUCGAAGCUAACGCGUUAAGUUCGCUGCCUGGGGAGUACGGUCGCAAGACUAAAACUCAAAG
rnacentral:rRNA from 1 species